rnacentral:lncRNA from 1 species
UGGUGGUUAAAUGGUGUGUUAUUAUGGUGGAGGUCUUGUGCUCGAAUCCCUAUGCAGCCAAGGGUAAUAUUUUUGCUCAGAUUUUGGGAUAGAGUUGUGUAAUAGGGGGAUUUUGUGUAGUGGACGUGUAGUGGGAAUUAGGGGAGAAGAUUAAAGGAUUUGGGGGUUAUUGGGAUUUUAUUUUAUUUUUUCUCAGAACUGAGUUUUGACUCUCUUUUCCAAAAAACUUAUACUGUCUAUUCUUCUCCCUCUCCUCUUGCCGGAAUUCUUUGAGUUUUUUCAUCUUUCCUUUCUUUUUCUUCUUCUUGAUUUUUCCCUAAUCCAUUUAUUUUCCUUCGUUUUCGCACGCAAUUAGUGCUCGCUUAGUUUUGGUAAGUGUUCCUCCUUAUUUCUGUCAUGAAUCUCUUAAGGACUGAAGUGGUAAUGUUUUUUCUCUAUGAUUUGGGUGUAGGGGAGGCUUUAAUUGGUGAAUUCAGUGUUCUC